rnacentral:tRNA from 3 species
UGGGCUGUAGCCAAGCGGUAAGGCAGCGGGUUUUGAUCCCGCCAUUCCCAGGUUCGAAUCCUGGCAGCCCAGCCA